rnacentral:rRNA from 1 species
CACGUAGGGUGCGAGCGUUAUCCGGAUUUACUGGGUUUAAAGGGUGCGUAGGUGGGUCUGUAAGUCAGUGGUGAAAUCUCCGAGCUUAACUCGGAAACUGCCAUUGAUACUAUAGGUCUUGAAUUAUCUGGAGGUGAGCGGAAUAUGUCAUGUAGCGGUGAAAUGCUUAGAUAUGACAUAGAACACCAAUUGCGAAGGCAGCUGGCUACACAAAUAUUGACACUGAGGCACGAAAGCGUGGGGAUCAAACAGG